CAUGAUUCAUGUGCAUUAUGUGCAGAGGAUUUCAUUGAGUCUUUAUUGUUCAGACUCGUCACAGGUGUCUCAGCCUUAGAGGAUUUGUUUAUCAGUGGAUGAACGUAUGUGGGCGGAGAGCUACACAGAGGGAUUAUAAAGGAAUUAUAGUCUGAAAAAGAUAGAGGGAGGUAGUGUGAACAAGGAAAAGAAAGAGAAGACAGUCACAGCUCCCAGUGGAAGCCUGCACUUCACCAUCAUGCUGCAACAACAUGAUAUUGUCAUGUAUUGCAUUGCAAGCCUCAACAUCAGCGUAACCAUUGUCUACUGGGCAUUCAUGCUGUAUGAAGCUGUCUUCAGGUUCUACCUGGUGUCCAAGGAGGAGGUCAACCCUGCCUAAGGCCUGGACAUCAUGUAGACACCGGCUAGAACAGGCUUAUUUAUUUUAUUCUUAGUCCUUUUUGGGGGGUGGCAGAAUUUAGAGGGGUUUUUUUGUAUACAAUUUUUUUCAACAGCAAAGGAAGAACAGGAAUCAAUCCAUCUGCUUUACUGCUUUUCAGGGGGCAGUGACCAUUUUUCAUCACAAAUGCUGCACACGAGUCCACCUGACCACCCGAGGAAUCAUGGAAUAGAAGACUGAAAAAACAAAGUGAGAAAAACUUCUGUCCAGCAUGGAGGCAUUUGAGAUGCACGCUGAUCAGAGCAUGAGAAGAAAUCUCACUUGGGUGGCUGUUGAGCCUAGACGGCUCCACCAGGUGCCCGAGGAAGAAGACAAUGUUGCAUAUUAUGAGAACUACAGCCCUCCUCCACGAGAUUCCAUCCACAUUCCACGCCACAUCCUGUACGGGCUGGUGGCUGGGGUGCUGGUGGUGGUAGCUCUUUAUGCAAUCGUCGGCCACCUAAUUAAGGACUUGGCACAUGACCUGGCAGACUGGAUUCUUGGCCCCAAAACCGAAGAGGAUGAGAAGCACCAAAGUCUCAGUAGAGAUGAAGAAAUGGGUAGUGCCACAGUGGGGAAGUGGAACAGUUACUAUCAUGAGAAGAUGACGGGAGGAAAGAAAUGGCCGAAGGAGGAGAGAGAAGGAUUACUACCAGGCUUUCAGGGCUGCCUCAUGGAGCCAAAAAGUUUCAAUCCUCCUCGGCAAAAGACUGUGCAUUUUCCAUAUCCCAGUGUGACAUCCAUAUAGGUUUCACUCCUACUUUAUUAUUGAUGUCUGAGAACCCAGCACUUCAAAUUACAUGCCAAUGUUAGGUCAUAUUUACAACCGUCUCCUGUGUGUAUAUGAUAAAAAUGUCUACAAGUCAAAUGACCAAUCCCUUGUUUUUGUUGAAGACAUUCAUACCACUGCUUGCAUGAAGAUUCCAUCAUGAUUAGUUGCCUGUUCAAAUAAAAUUAUAAAUAUUAGAUUAUUAAAUGUGAAA
rnacentral:lncRNA from 1 species